UCACGUCCUCUCUUUGUUGUUUAUUUAUUUUUUUCUUUUAAAAAUUCUAUGCCAUGUUUCGAUUUCUUAUUGGUUUCUAAAAGGACCUGGAAAAAUUCUUCUCCAUUCUUACUGCAAGUAAGAGGCGCCUCCCCUCGUAAUUUUAUAAAAAAAUAUACUAUUAUUUAUUUCUUUUUUAUAUUGGUUUUUAUCUUGUUAUUAGGGUUAGAUUUCUUAGGCCUUGUUGAGUUUAUA
rnacentral:lncRNA from 1 species